GGCAGUGGCUCAGUGGUAGAGAAUUUGCUCUACAUGCAGGAUGUUCCAGGUUCAAUUCCUGGCAAUGUCC